UCAAAUUUUUAUUUUGACAUACAAGAGCAGAAAAGAUGUUGCUCAGCAAUAAAAACAUCAGCUCCUACAACUGGCUAUAGCUCACCAUUUUGCAGAGGAAAAUUAUGAUUACUUCCAGGUCAAAGAAUUGCAUGAAAACUGGCUGUGUGGGGGAUCUGUUGCUCCUAGUGGGAUAAAAGCCCAGUGUAGUCCCAGUUUAGCUGCAGAGAUGUGGUUAAAAUGGCAACGAGUUCUCCCACGGUGAAUGUAGUUUGCAUGUAGCUGCACCUGUAAGAGUAAAUUGAUUCCUCCACUUUGAUCAGCUUAAUAUUUGUAUUACAUGCAUGUGAAGUCUGAAAUCACUAGCUAAUACUAUGAAAACAGGGAAAAAAUGUGAAAUGGCUGAAAUUUUGUUUUGUCCUAGUAUAUGAAUCUUGGCAUUGAAUGGAUUUGGGACAACUCUGUUAUAUGAGACCUCUGAAAAAAGGCUCAAUUGAUAGUUCAGCUCCAAAAUGGAGUCAUAAUAGCAAGGUUUUAUCAGCUCGGCCACUGUCUUGCUUUGUGGUACUGGACUAACUCCUCAGUUUUAUUCUGUGCACUUGUUUCCUCUUCUGGUUGUGAUUGCUUGGAGAAUAACCUGGUUUUGUUUGGCAACGCUGAGUUUCUAGUUUGGGGGUAUUAGGAGAGGUCAAAAUACUAUUUAGAAGUUGGUUGUUCAGUUCAUAGUCCUUUAACGUGUUUUUAUGAACUUUUUUUAAAGGACUGAAUAGUAGAUUCUCCUGCCUGAAGUUUUAUUGCACUAUAGGAAACCAAACAGCUUCCUGAGUUUUAAAAAGCAAAAAUCUGUAGUGCCUUUGAAUAGAAGAGGAAAUGGUCUGUUUAUUAGAACCCCUUCAACUAUGUAUGUACUGACAGAAAUUGAAAAUAUCACGUCCCUAACGUUGUUUAAACCUGGGGAAAUUAUUCUUCAGGGGAUGAAACUGCUUUUUCUUUCCUUGCCUAGGAGGAACAAAAUGCGUUUUGGCAGUUAAAACCCCCAUCUCCGUUUGUCUCUCAGCCCCUAGUUUAACAGUGAGUCUUAGUGAAAUCUUCAAACGUGCGGCAGCCCUACCCUGAGUCUGCCCAAGUCAAAUGCACGUGGUUCUUGGGGAACAGCAGCAGAAAUUAUUGCCCCGAGCAGUUUGUUCUUCCCUGCAGCUGGGACUUACUCCUUCCCUCCUCUCUGCACCCCUGCAUCACCAGGGAGGACUGAGCGUCUGGAGGCUCCUUCAGCAGCUCCAGGGCAGAGCCAGGCUGGGCUGCGUGCACCGGAGGCCAGAGGUGUCCCAGCUCCGCUCUGGGACAGGCGGCUUCAUCCCUGCAUCCCCAUGGAUCCCUGGCACUGACGGUACCUGCCAGAUUCACAAGAGGUCGUGGGCCAUUCCCUGCUACCAAACAGAUUUAUCCCUUCUGAGCAGGGGCUGAGGCCUCAGCGUUAACAAGCAGCAGCUUGUUCGGGCUGAGUUUUCUGCUGGUUAUAACUGUCCGUGGGGUUUUUCUCUGAAGGGACCUUUGGUUCUUCCCCAGGCUCCCCUCUGCAUCUGUGAAGUUGGCCUUACUGAGGUUUUCAUGCUUUGGCAGUGGCACUGAGUCCGCCAAAUUGUAGCCCAGCUUCGCACAGAGCUGUGUGUGUGUUGGGGGGGCGGUUAAAAACCUGAUUUCCCUGUAUUCAGGCAACAGCUUUUCUUUCUAAACAUUUCCCUUUUCAGAAUAAAGCAAACCCAAGGUGCUUUCACUCAGCCGUAGGCGCUGUGCUGCGUGGAGCCGGAAAGGCGGACAAGUGCUGGCCGCGUGCUGGCUGCCGGGGCUGCGCUGCCAGCACAGGGCAGUGAUAGUUGAAGGUGAACACCUGCACCACGCGAUGAACCGCACAAUAUUGCUUUUCUUCAGAAGAUCAUUAGGCGGGCCGAGUCAGCAGGCUAGACAGCAGCAGAGGCUGUAGCUGGCUGGGGGCACGGCUCCACCCCACAGCUGGCGGGCCUCACACCCCUGGGGCCCUGGGGUGGCAGCCAGCACAGUAGCCAGUCCCCUUUUUGGCACUCUCCUGAGUGCUAGGUUGGAAUCCUGCCUUGUUGCUGCAUUCAGGGCAGAUGGAAGAAGAGAGUCCUUAUUCCUUUUUUCCUUGUGAACUUCAUCUGGAGCGGAGCGCAGGAUCUGGGCCUGCGCUUCGAGCCCGGCACAGAUAUUUCUUUACUACAUGCUCACAGUUUGCUUGCUAGCAAUCCCUGCAAAGCUGCUGGCAGAAGAGAUGUGAUCAAAGGGAAGUUGUAUUGUUGUCUGUGUUCUGUUUUUUCCAGGUUCUUUCUAAAGCUCUAACCUCAUGAAAUAAGUUACCUGAUUUGGGGAGGGGGGGUAAAUAUAAAGCAACCCCUUCUCCUGCAAAAUUUUAACGUGGUAAAUUCAAACUUGUUUUGAAAACUUAAAUAUUGAAGGUGUCUCUCUCUCGUCUAUAUGUUGAAAUGUAUAUAUGUAAUAUGCAUUUAUAAUACAUGUGUAUAUGAAUUACAUUGCACCAACAGUCAGUUGUGCAGGUACAGAUGACAUCUGUUAGAUGUGUGAGGAUUUCAUCCUGCUCACAGCUGAAACCUGUAGAUAUGUGAACCCUGCCAUUUCCACCUCUCAUUGAGGAAUAUCAGAAAAUCAGAAAGCCAGACUGAUGCUGCUUAAAACAAGGAAGUAUAUGGUCGUACUUACUAAGUUACAUCCCAGAAUCAUUGUUAUUCAAUGCUAAGUUCACAAAGUUAAGUACCCGGCAGUUAGGAAGUGCCACAGCUGAGGCUUCCUGUGCAGCUUUUUGGUUCUUUAUGUGCCACAUGUUACGGUACAGUCCCCAGUUACGUGGCUCUGUUCUUUUUCUCUCUCGCUAUUGCUUCAUUUGGCACCUGAUGCUCAGUGAAUGAGAUGCUGUUUAAGAUGGUGUGUAAUUUCUGUAGAUCAGAUGAAGGCCACCCACCUUUAUUGUUGCUCACUGUUAAAACCUUGUUCUGAAGACAGCCUAAAUACUUUCCUUUCAGAUUCUUGAUGCUCCUCACUGACACUAGAAUGCUCCGCAUGCAUGUCAUUAACUGUCUUUCAAGCACCCCUAUUAGCAAAGUAGUGGUCUGUCUCCAUUCUGAAAGGGGGAGGAAACUAAGGCACACAACUGUCGAAAUUCGAAGCAUCUUUGUGUUAGGUAUGCCAUUUUUCAGUCCUUAAUAUUAUACACAGUUCUUAAAAUAAUGGAAGAAUCCUCUCCAUCGUGAUAGUUGUCGCAAGUUGAUGCUGAUCAAAUCAAAAGUACUUAAUCAGUGGCAACCUGCAGAAAUUAGAUUCGUGUUCCGCAUUCAGCAGCAUCUGUAAACUCCUCUGACUGGGAAUUGAAAAAAAAAAAGUUGUUCUUCUGGCAUCAUUCAUUUACCUUAAAUAUUAGCGGUUCUCUUCUCUUCUCCUCUCGCAGCCCUCUGCCUUGUGUAUUUAACACACAUGUUCUGACAAAUGAGGCAGUCAUUCUUCUGCCUCAUUACACAGCCUCGAUUCAUCCCCAGGGUAUAGUCCAUCUUUACAUCGGGUGAAGAAGAGAUCGAGACGGGAGAGAGGAAAAUGUAGGGUCACCUGGGACUUGGGCAGCUCUGUUUUGUGGCCAGAAGGAUUGAUGAAGGAAUGAUGUGCGGUGCUGGAAAGGCAAGAAUGACAAACAGCAGCCCUGCGGUCACUUUGAAAGGCCUGAGUAAGCGUUUGCAGUGCCUCGUCCUGGGAAUGCUGAAUGCUAACACUUCACCUGCCGCCUGGGAGUCCACUUUCCCCAGGGAGCCUUCCCUGGGGGUGCAGCUGGAGGAGGCUGAGCUGGAGGUAAGGCACCAAGGCGGCUCUUCUGCAGCUCUCCCAGCGCAGAGAGCUGCCUGCCAGCGUUUGCUGGUAGAGAAACUCUUCUCUGAACUGAGCAAAGUCGCAGUAGACUUUAUAGCCAAAGUCGGUAUGAUUUGUUUGCAAAGUUAAACACUGCUUUUUCUGAACUGCUGAAAUAAAUAAGAGCAAAUCGUGUGAGGUCAUAGAGUUCUGCCUUUCCAAGCUGCUUCAGCUGUGCUCCCAGAGCAGCUUCGCUUCUCAGCUCCCCUCCACCGUGGCCAGAAAGCCUCCGCUGGGCCAGCCUGGGGAGAGGAAGGUUUGUUGCCUCUGUGCUCCGUGUUCUGAAACCAGCGGCUGGGAGAAGAGCUGCAGUGCAGCCACCCUUUUUCCCCGAUAAAUGACGGGGCAGUCUGGGGAAGGCAGAGGGUCUUUGCAAACUGGAGGUGCGAGUGACUUGUGCUGAAGCUCCUGCUUGGCCGGCUGCAUGCUGUGCUGUACACAAAGGCCCCCGCAGGUUUAUAUUAAGGUGCUGCCCAGACUAAACCAGUGCAUUUUUUUCUUUUUCCCCCUCUAAAUGCCUUUUUAUCAUUCAGGCUGUCACCUGUGUUUCCUGGCAAAGGCUGCUGGCUGGGGGAGGUCUGGCAGAGCUGAACGCCCAGCUUGGUGGUCUUUGUGUGGCUGCCUGAAAGAUGGCUUAAAACAGAACCUGCUCUGUGAAUACCUGCGAGUUAACAUGUGUCAGCCGUGUGGCUGGAAGGUUUCUCCUCUGCUGUAAAGAGAGAUUUUAUAAUGAAUACUUUCCUUGUGAUUAAAAUGGGUAGAUAAACAAAUAGUUCCUACAGGAAGUAUACUGUAUGAAGACAGGGCAAAUAGAUUGUAGCUCUCCAAACAAGGAAAGGGAGAGGGGAAAAAAAAAAGGGAAAAAAAAAACCCGCCAAGCUCCUCCUUAGUGCAUUUAAUCUAUUAGAAUGUGAAAUAGCAAUUUAUCUUUCCCAUUUCCUUUCCUUGUCAAACAUAUACAGCUGUUGGAGCUUUCUCUGUUCCUUACUAGAAAUGCCAGGACUUGAAUUUGUUGAUGCCGUCCUCUGGAGUAUCGCUGCUUUUAUCAUCUUUCCAUGGUACCAGUUGUGCUCUCUCCUGAAACCUCAGGGGAAAAAACAUAAUGAUCCAAACUAGAUUUAAACAAAUUAUGAUUCUUCUCCAAAUCAUUUCUGUAAUAAAUAUAAUUACUCUUCCUGUUAGUGCACUAGCAGGGAGCAGACAGAUCUUUGGAUGUGCUGAAUUGGAGCUGAUUAUCUUCAUGACUAACUGCAAAUCUGUCUUUGAGACCACGGUAUGCUGUAUUGGUCAUGUGCCUGAGAUGCUUAAGCAUACUUGGUCACAGUUUGCGCAGUGUUCUGUUCAUGCAAGCAGCUCCCAAUGCAAAUUUCUGUAAAGUAAAUGUUAAAAUUUGUUAAUUUGUCCUCUAACCAUGGCUUGCAGAAUUGGAUAAUGACCCUUUGGGUUUACUAUGAGAAGUGAACGUAUAAAAGAUGUGAAAAAGGCUUUUCAAUUGACAAUGCAAAUAUUAUAGAAAAAUUUAAGUUGGGGAGGGACCUCUUGCAGUCUCUAAACUGUCCUCCUGCUCAAAGUAGAGCUAAUUUAUGUGUUGCUCAGGGGUUUUUUUUGCAGUUGUUUCGAAAAUCUCAAAGGAUGGAGACUGGGCCUUGUCCCAGGACUGUACCACUCACUGGAAAGUUGUUUUCUUUAUGUCCCAACUGGAAUUUCCCUUGUUGCAGCUUAUGUCCAUUGCCUCUUGCCCUUUUACUGUGUAAGUCUGAGAAAAGUCUGGCUGUCCUCUAUAUCACUCUGCUUUUGGUAGUGGAAAACUGUAAUCAGAUCCCUCUGCAGCCUUCUCUUCUGCAGGCUGCGCAAACCCCGCUCCCCCAGCUUCUCCUCGUGCAUCAUGUGCUCCUGGCCCUCUUGGUGGCCUCAGCUGGGCUUGCUCUGAUCUGAUAAUAAACAUUAAAAAUUAACUAUUUUUUUCCACUGUUUCAUGCAGUUGCAGUUUCCUUGGGUAGCCUUCAGUCAAACUGAUGUUUGUCUUCGUAUGAGAUGGGGAUUUUGAACCAGUGGUGAAUGAUAAUUCUUUUAUCCGUCUGCCUGUGCUUUUCUCUCAUUUAUUUUUAUUUUUUUGUUAAGUCAUUGCCACUUGGAAAGUAUCAUCUUAAGCAUUCUUUCAUCAGUGCAGUACUUUCUCUUCCCCACAGCACUACUUGAGUGUUGGAUAAUACUUGGGGUGAAUAGAUUAUCUUGUCUUGCUAGACGUUUUCCUGUGAGGAUGCAGUCCUUACCUGUGAUGUCAUGGCUUAUUUCACUUGUGCUGUAAGACACGAUUCGCCCAUGUUUCUGUUCAUGUGACCUGAAUUCCUCACCAAGGUUCUGCAGCUUUAAAGAAUUUUCAAGAUAAUGUUUUCGGUUCUUCUCUUCCCUGGUUUGUUUCUAAAUCUCUUUUCUUCCAUACCACCUUCUCACCUUUUACUCAGGAGCUGAACUUUUGGAAAAGAGAGUAAUUGUUAUAUAAAAUAGUAAUUAUUUUCCUACUGUUCUACUUCUCAUAGUUAUUGUAUUCUGGAUGUUAGUUCAAAACCAAAUUUCAUUGCGCCUUAGCCCAGUCCAAUGAAAUGUGAACAGUAACAAAGAUACCUAUAACACUGCUGCUGACUUCAUUAUUGCAUUGGAUUGUCAUGGUGGGAAACUAACUUCCUGCAUGUGGAAGGGAGAAUAAGCACUACUAGGACACAUGUGCCUGAAUAGAGUAAGUCAGUGAAUUACAAUAAAGAGAAAUAAUUAAAAAAAUAAUAAUAAAAAAAUUUUAAACAGCUACAGGCCCAUCUAUAAGAAAUGUUGAGUGCUGUCUAGUGAGGUUACCAGUUUUGUAGAAGUCAUGCUCCUGAAUUUAGACAAGACACGAUACUUACCUAAAUCAAAGACGAAAUGUAGGACAUAGAACUUUUUACACCAAACUUUUCCAGAUGCAUUACCACCCUGAAAGAACAUCGAGUAAAAGUAGGCUUACAGAGAAGAGGAGAUGGAAUGCGUUGGCCAAAAAGCUUCAUCUUGGAGUUCUUCAAGAAAGGAUAGCGACAAUUGACACACAGAC